AGAAGAAGAAGAAGAAGAUGAUGAGUUAUGAGACUUGGUUUACUGUUUAAAAUCUCUACGUAAGGAAGACAGGAACUGAGUAGAUGGCAUUGAGCUAAAAUAUUCAAGCUCAAGGUGCAUCCAUUGUGUCCUGUUUCAAAUAUGCAGGAUCUUAGCUAACCUAUUAGGCCCUGCCAUCUGUGGACCAACCUCAUCAGUGGUAAUUAGUCCUCUGAUCAUCUGAUUCUGAACUUUAUUGCUCAACCUGACUGACAAACUAUUUUGUGGGUCGGAUUCUGGCACUCUUAUAACUUAUUUCAAUAUUCAACUAGAUUAUCAACAAACUGAUUUUGUAAUUUUUUUUUUAUAACUGAAUUGCUUCCUACAUUUGAUAUCUUCAGCUUGUUUAGCAAGAAGCAAAUUUGUGAUCAAGGAGAAAGAAUUGAAUUGAGGUGCUAAGCAUAAAUUUGAAGAGGAUUGUUUGUAAUUAACAAUUUAUUUAAGCACUGGA
rnacentral:misc_RNA from 1 species